rnacentral:rRNA from 1 species
UACGUAGGAGACAAGCGUUGUCCGGAAUUACUGGGUGUAAAGCGCGUGUAGGUGGUAGGCCAAGUCUGCUGUGAAAUCGCCCGGCUCAACUGGGCGCGGUCGGUGGAAACUGGUCAACUGGAGGACGGUAGAGGCGAGUGGAAUUCCCGGUGUAGUGGUGAAAUGCGUAGAGAUCCGGAGGAACACCAGAGGCGAAAGCGGCGUCCUGGGGUGAGGUUGACGCUCAGACACGAAAGCAUGGGGAGCGAACGGG